rnacentral:lncRNA from 10 species
GUUUUGUCCCUGUUCUCCAGCUCCUCUGUUAGUUCAUUUCCUCUCUUUGUACCAUCCUUUCUUCUUCUGUCUGUUCAGAUCUGUGGGGCAUUAAUACUCAAACUCAGGUGGAGAAAUAAUGUGUAAAGAUGCAGAAUAAAGCAGAUGGAGUAACUGGGGCCAAGGGAGAUUACCAACUUGCCCAAGAUGUCAACAUUAGUAAGAGAAAGAGCCAAAUUUCAAACUCAGGUAAAACUUCCACAUGGCCUGGACAAGACCUCGGAGGUGAUAAAAAUCUUGUAUGACCCUGGGAUUCUCAGAUUUGAAAUCAGAAGGCUCGCUAUUUCAGAAUAAACACAAAGCUAAUAUAGAUAUAGUUGAAAAUUUACAGCCCAAACUUAGACUUAGUUUUGCUUAGCAACUGGACCAAAAUAAUAAACAAGAAGAGAAAUACCUGUUCUCCAGCGAUUUCAUAAAUCUGCCUUCAGUAUAAAUUUUGCAGACAACAUUAAAGAAAGACCUUUGGAGUAGAGCCAAGCCUUUGAAAACCCACUUUAACCUUGUGCUUGGCACUGUGCUAUAAAAAGUUUACUGUGACCUUCCAAAGAAACUGUAAGGGGCCAUUUUGUGGCUCUUAUCUUUUUUUGUUCUCCAUCCCCAGUCUUCUUAAUUACAUUUUCACAUGAACUCUGUGGGUAUUAAAUGAAGCUGGGUCCAUUCAGUAUUUCUGUUCAAUCUUCUCAGAAAAUUGGUUCUGUUUUCUUUGGGCAAUCUAUAGGCAGUUUCUGAUGCAUUUCUCUACCAUUCUGGUAAUGUAUUUAUUUCCCCAGCCAUUUUUCAUAGGGGACACUUCCACCAGUUUAUUUUUUUUU